rnacentral:rRNA from 1 species
AAAUUGAAGAGUUUGAUCAUGGCUCAGAUUGAACGCUGGCGGCAGGCCUAACACAUGCAAGUCGAGCGGUAGCACAGAGAGCUUGCUCUCGGGUGACGAGCGGCGGACGGGUGAGUAAUGUCUGGGAAACUGCCUGAUGGAGGGGGAUAACUACUGGAAACGGUAGCUAAUACCGCAUAACGUCGCAAGACCAAAGUGGGGGACCUUCGGGCCUCAUGCCAUCAGAUGUGCCCAGAUGGGAUUAGCUAGUAGGUGGGGUAACGGCUCACCUAGGCGACGAUCCCUAGCUGG